rnacentral:rRNA from 1 species
GGUACACGCUGUGACUAGCAUAUCAAUAAGCGGAGGAAAAGAAACUAACAAGGAUUCCCCUAGUAACGGCGAGAGAAGCGGGAAGAGCUCAAAUUUGAAAUCUUAAAGGGUUUCCCUUUACGAAUUGUAGUUUAAAGAAGUGUUUUCUGUUGAGGUUUUGGUAAAAGUUCUUUGGAAUAGGACAUCAUAGAGGGGUGAGAAUCCCGUAUUUGACCUUUACUUUCAACUUUGUGAUACACUUUCAAAGAGUCGGAUUGUUUGGGAAUGCAGUCCAAAAUGGGUGGUAAAUUUCAUCUAAAGCUAAAUAUUGGCGAGAGACCGAUAGCGAACAAGUACCGUGAGGGAAAGAUGAAAAGAACUUUGAAAAGAGAGUUAAACAGUACGUGAGAUUGUCAAAAGGGAAGCGUUUGACACCAGUGUUGUUUUUCUGAAAAUCAAUUAAAGAACUGUUUAUGUUAAGUUGUUUAGACUUUAUCAGCUAACUGUUUAGUUUUGAGCUUUUCUUUAAUGCACUUUUCAGUUAACAAGUCAACAUCAAUUUCUUUUGCUGUAAAAAAGCUUGAGGAAGGUGGCUUGAGAUUCGUCUUAAGUGUUUAUAGCCUCUUGCCUAUGCAGUCGGAGAGAUUGAGGUCUGCAGCGUAGAUCUUUCGGGGCUAAAUGCAUUUGUGCUAAGUUAUAGCAUUUUAUAGACAACUUGUUGACUAUGAUUUGUCUUGUAGCUUACUCGCUUAUGUUAUUUUACCUACGCUUAGGAUGUUGACGCGCGUGUGUGCGUG